GGUUAUUUAAAAGGUUUUCCUAUGGCGCUUGCAUCGCCAGGAUCGUGGGUUCGAUUCCCGCUGUGGCCA
rnacentral:tRNA from 1 species